rnacentral:rRNA from 1 species
CAAGUUUGAUCCUGGCUCAGGAUGAACGCUAGCGGCAGGCUUAACACAUGCAAGUCGAGGGGCAGCGGGGUGUAGCAAUACACUGCCGGCGACCGGCGCACGGGUGCGUAACGCGUAUGCAACCUACCCAUAACAGGGGCAUAACACUGAGAAAUUGGUACUAAUUCCCCAUAACAUUCGAAGAGGCAUCUCUUUGGGUUGAAAACUCCGGUGGUUAUGGAUGGGCAUGCGUUGUAUUAGCUAGUUGGUGGGGUAACGG